GACGAACGCUGGCGGCGUGCUUAACACAUGCAAGUCGAACGGAAAGGCCCUGCUUUUGUGGGGUGCUCGAGUGGCGAACGGGUGAGUAACACGUGAGUACCCUGCCCUUGACUGUGGGAUAACUUCAGACAACUGGGGCUAAUACCGGAUAGGAGCUCCUGCUGCAUGGUGGGGGUUGGAAAGUUUCGGCGGUUGGGGAUGGACUCGCGCCUUAUCAGCUCGUUGGUGGGGUAGUGGCUUAGCAUGGCUUGGCCCGGUAGCAGGCCUGGGAGGGUCACCGGCCACAUUGGGCCUGAGAUACGGCCCAGACUCCUACGGGAGGCAGCAGAGGAGAAUAUUGCACAAUGGGCGGAAGCCUGAUGCAGCAACGCCGCGUGCGGGAUGAGGGCCUUCGGUUUGUGUUCCGCUUUCGCCUGUGACGAAGCGUGAGUGACGGUAAUGGGUAAAGAAGCACCGGCUAACUACGUG
rnacentral:rRNA from 1 species